rnacentral:rRNA from 1 species
GAUGAACGCUGGCGGCGUGCCUAAUACAUGCAAGUCGAGCGAACAGACGAGGAGCUUGCUCCUCUGACGUUAGCGGCGGACGGGUGAGUAACACGUGGAUAACCUACCUAUAAGACUGGGAUAACUUCGGGAAACCGGAGCUAAUACCGGAUAAUAUAUUGAACCGCAUGGUUCAAUAGUGAAAGACGGUUUUGCUGUCACUUAUAGAUGGAUCCGCGCCGCAUUAGCUAGUUGGUAAGGUAACGGCUUACCAAGGCAACGAUGCGUAGCCGACCUGAGAGGCUGAUCGGCCACACUGGAACUGAGACACGCUCAAGACUCCUAAGGGAGGCAGCAGUAGGGAAUCUUACGCAAUGGGCGAAAGCUUGACGGAGCAACGCCGCGUGAGUGAUGAAGGUCUUCGGAUCGUAAAACUCUGUUAUUAGGGAAGAACAAAUGUGUACGUAACUAUGCCCGUCUUGACGGUACCUAAUCAGAAAGCCCCGGCUAACUACGUG